rnacentral:sRNA from 1 species
UAGUGAGGGAGGGGGUGACUAGUGACAGAAUGAGGGAGGGGGUGACUAGUGACAGAGGGAGAUGGUGAUUAGUGACAGAGUGAGGGAGGUGGUGACUGUCACUAGUCAACCCAUCCUUCCCUCUGUCACUAGUCACCCCCUCCCUCUGUCACUGUGUCACCCCAUCCCUCCCUCUGUCACUGUGUCACCCCAUCCCUCCCUCUGUCACUAGUCACCCUCUCCCUCAC